rnacentral:rRNA from 1 species
UACGUAGGCAGCAAGCGUUGUUCGGAAUUACUGGGCGUAAAGAGUGUGUAGGCGGUUUGCCAAGUUUGUCGUGAAAUCUCCCGGCUUAACUGGGAGGGUGCGGCGAAAACUGGCAGGCUGGAGUAUGGGAGAGGAAAGCGGAAUUCCUGGUGUAGCGGUGAAAUGCGUAGAUAUCAGGAGGAACACCUGCGGUGUAGACGGCUUUCUGGACCAUCACUGACGCUGAGACACGAAAGCGUGGGUAGCAAACAGG